rnacentral:rRNA from 1 species
CAGACCCUCGUGGUAUGACAAAACCACGACAACGAAGAUAUUAAUGAGACUUUAAAAGGUUUUUUCGUUCAAAUUAUGAGGUUUUCCCCUUUUUGUUUGUUUGGUAUCUAGAAUAGAGAUCCAACGAAUUGGUACUUUGUUACAUAGAAGACGUUGCAUGAGGACGUAAAUCAUCAUCAUUACGGUAGAUCUAUUAGGAUCUAUUACGUUCUCAUCAUCAUUGACUUUGAAGAACACUUAAAUUGACUUUGAAGACGUAAACAUGAGACAUUCUAAGAUCGAUAUCUCUAUUUUACGAGGAAGUAAACUAAUCGUAAAUUGUUGUCAUUGCAAAUCUAACCAACGUUGUUUGUUUUAUGUCUAUAUAGUUACUCAUUUAAAGAAUAAUUAUACCAGGCCAACGUUGUUUUUUUUAAUUUUGUUCCAUGACCAUGAGUAAACCAGUUAGACGAUGACAUGAGUAAACUGUCUAAACAUAAAACUGUAUUAGGUAAAGUAUCACUACAAAGAACUGUGUGUUCACUAUGACACGUCUGUUCGCUGUUAAGAAGACACGUCAUCCUCAUGUUAUGAGACAUAAAACUGUUUGUUCACGUCGUAGAGUACACACUAAUACGUAAAUAGAUUUAGAUACGUAAAUUAACUUAGAUACGGCUUAAAUUGACUAGGGACAUGACUAUGAGGUCAGACAAACGUCUUAAAUGUCAUUUUAAAUGAGGUCCCUCGUUCUAGUGUAAUGACGUCAAUCCCCGCUCCGUUCCUCUUGGACGGACCUCUGGUGCACGACGCAUCACUGCUCAGUCCACCCAACCCGUGCCGCUCCUGGUUCGACUCCCCCGCCGCUGGUUCGACCCGCGCCGCCGCUGGUUCGACUCCGCCUCCGCUGGUUCGACUCCGCCUCCGCUGGUUUGACCCACGGACCCGCGCCCCGGCUCGCGGACCUUUGUCCCGGCUCGCGGACCUACUACCCCUGCUACGCACGAGCACCUCCUCCCCCUGCUGCGUUCGAUGACCUCCUCCCCCUGCCGCGUUCGAAGACCUCCUUCUGCUGCUGUGCUCGAGGACCUCCUUCUGCUGCCGUGCUCGAGGACCUCCUACCCCUGCUGCGCUCGAGGACCUCCUACCCCUGCUGCGCUCGAGGACUCCCUACCCCUGCCGCGCUCGAGGACCCCCUUCCCCUGCCGCGCUCGAGGACCCCCUACCCCUGCCGCGCUCGAGGACCUCCUCCUUCUGCUGCGCUUAAGUUUAGCUCCCAUUUUUCCAGAUUAAGCGGUAAACAGCCGACACAGGAUUUUAACAUUUGCGAGAAUAUUUUCAAAUGUCUCCCUCAU